CCUACGGGAGGCAGCAGUAGGGAAUUUUCGGCAAUGGGGGGAACCCUGACCGAGCAACGCCGCGUGAACGAAGAAGUUAUUCGUAAUGUAAAGUUCUUUUAACAGGGAAGAAAGAGAACUUUGACGGUACCUGCAGAAUGAGCUCCGGCUAACUACGUGCCAGCAGCCGCGGUCAUAAGUAGGGAGCGAGCGUUAUCCGGAAUUAUUGGUCGUAAAGGGUGCGUAGAUGGCAUAGUAAGUCUGUUGUAAAAAUGCUGGGCUCAACCCAGUAGGGCAAACGAUACUGGAAAGCUAGAGUAUGAAAGAGGCAAGUGGAACUACAUGUGUAGCGGUAAAAUGCGUAAAUAUAUGUAAGAACACCAGUGGCGAAGGCGGCUUGCUGGGUCGAUACUGACAUUGAGGCACGAAAGCGUGGGGAGCAAACAGGAUUAGAUACCCCUGUAGUC
rnacentral:rRNA from 1 species